AGCGAACGUUAGCGGCAGGCCUAACACAUGCAAGUCGCGCGAGAAAGAGGGGUUCGCCCCUCGAGUAAAGCGGCGCACGGGUGAGUAACACGUGGAUAAUCUGCCCUUCGGUGGGGGACA
rnacentral:rRNA from 1 species